rnacentral:rRNA from 1 species
AAUCUCCAAUCAGGCAAGACUACCCGCUGAACUUAAGCAUAUCAAUAAGCGGAGGAAAAGAAACUAACAAGGAUUCCCCUAGUAACUGCGAGUGAAGCGGGAACAGCUCAAAUUUGAAAUCUCCAAGGUUCCCUUGGCGAAUUGUAGUUUAGAGAAGCGUUUUCAGUGACGGUCUUGGUUCAAGUCCCUUGGAACAGGGUGUCAUAGAGGGUGAGAACCCCGUUAAACCUUGAUUUGUUGCCAUGUGAUACGCUUUCCAAGAGUCGGGUUGUUUGGGAUUGCAGCCCAAAAUGGGAGGUAAAUUUCUUCUAAAGCUAAAUACUGGCGAGAGACCGAUAGCGAACAAGUACCGUGAGGGAAAGAUGAAAAGAACUUUGAAAAGAGAGUUAAAUAGUACGUGAAAUUGUCAAAAGGGAACGGC